CAGUAGCCGCGGGAAUACGAAGGGUGCAAGCGUUACUCGGAUUUACUGGGCGUAAAGCGUGCGUAGGUGGUGGUUUAAGUCCGUUGUGAAAGCCCUGGGCUCAACCUGGGAAUUGCAGUGGAUACUGGGUCACUAGAGUGUGGUAGAGGAUAGUGGAAUUUCCGGUGUAGCAGUGAAAUGCGUAGAGAUCGGAAGGAACAUCUGUGGCGAAGGCGACUAUCUGGGCCAACACUGACACUGAGGCACGAAAGCGUGGGGAGCAAACAGGAUUAGAUACCCCAGUAGUCCCUGUCUCUUAUAC
rnacentral:rRNA from 1 species